AUCGCUUCUCGGCCUUUUGGCUAAGAUCAAGUGUAGAGAACACUGUCCAACCAUCUUGUCCUCUGUCAUCCUCU